rnacentral:rRNA from 1 species
CGACGGGGAGGUUUGGCACCUCGAUGUCGGCUCAUCGCAACCUGGGGCUGAAGUCGGUCCCAAGGGUUGGGCUGUUCGCCCAUUAAAGCGGUACGCGAGCUGGGUUCAGAACGUCGUGAGACAGUUCGGUCCAUAUCCGGUGUAUGCGUAGGAAUAUUGAGAGGAUUUCUCCCUAGUACGAGAGGACCGGGAGGAACACACCUCUGGUGUACCAGUUAUCGUGCCAACGGUAAACGCUGGGUAGCCAUGUGUGGAGUGGAUAACCGCUGAAAGCAUCUAAGUGGGAAGCCCACCUCAAGAUGAGUAUUCCCAUGGGGUAACCCAGUAAGGUCACGGGAAGAACACCCGUUGAUAGGCUCUACGUCGAAGUUCAGUAAUGGAUGCAGCGGAGGAGUACUAAUAGACCGAGGGCUUGAC